rnacentral:sRNA from 1 species
AUGUCAGUAUCCAGCCAAGGACCUCUGUGUUUAGCGCAGGCUCCCUGAGAGCCAUUUCCCCUGGGCCCAAAAAUGGAACUUUUUGGGCCUUUUUUU